GAUGAACGCUGGCGGCGUGCCUAAUACAUGCAAGUCGAGCGAACAGACGAGGAGCUUGCUCCUCUGACGUUAGCGGCGGACGGGUGAGUAACACGUGGAUAACCUACCUAUAAGACUGGGAUAACUUCGGGAAACCGGAGCUAAUACCGGAUAAUAUAUUGAACCGCAUGGUUCAAUAGUGAAAGACGGUUUUGCUGUCACUUAUAGAUGGAUCCGCGCCGCAUUAGCUAGUUGGUAAGGUAACGGCUUACCAAGGCAACGAUGCGUAGCCGACCUGAGAGGGUUAUCGGCCACACUGGAACUGAGCCACGGUCCAGACUCCUACGGGAGGCAGCAGUAGGGAAUCUUCCACAAUGGGCGAAAGCCUGACGGAGCAACGCCGCGUGAGUGAUGAAGGUCUUCGGAUCGUAAAACUCUGUUAUUAGGGAAGAACAAAUGUGUAAGUAACUAUGCACGUCUUGACGGUACCUAAUCAGAAAGCCACGGCUAACUACGUG
rnacentral:rRNA from 1 species